UUUUAUAAAUAUUUUAAUAUUUUUAAUUUUUUAUAUUAAUUUUAUUAUUUGAUUUUUUUGAAGUAAUUAUUAAUAAAUAAUUUAAUUAUUUAUACUGUGAAGGCUUAAAUAUUUAAUAUAUUAAUAGUAAAUAAUAUGUACCUUUUGUAUCAGGGUGAAUUAAAUAAAUUAAUUAAAUUUUAUUUUCCCGAAUUAAAGAGUUCUAUGAAAUUAUUUAAUAAAUUGUAUUAAAAAUUUUUACUAUAAUUUUAUAGUAAUUAUAUGUUAGUCGUUCUUUGUUUAUCUGGUUAUUAAGGAUUUAAUAUAAUUAUGUACUUAUAUUUUAUUUUCUUUUUAUAAAGUAGGUAUUAUACUAUUGGGGAUAAUCUCUAUAGCUUAAUUAUAAUUUUAAGUUGGUUACAUUUAUUUUCUUUUAAAUUUUGAUUUUAGUUUUUAUUAAAUUUAUGUAUUUAUAUAAAAUUUAAUUUUAUUUAUUUUUUUACUUAAUUUUUAUUAUUUAAUAUAACUUUAUUAUUAAUAAUGAUUUAAUUAGUAUAAUUUAAAUUUUAAUAAAAAUGAAUUCGACAAAUUUUUAUUUCCAACUGUUUAUCAAAAACAUUUCCUUAUGUGUUUUUUUAAGGUACCUCCUGCCCUAUGAUAUGAUUAAAUGGCUGCAGUAUUUUGACUGUGCAAAGGUAGCAUAAUAAUUAGUUUCCUAAUUAGAAGCUGGUAUGAAUGGAAUAAUGAGAUAUAUAUUUUAUUAUAUUUAUUUUUAAAAUUUAAAUUUUAAGUUAAAAUGCUUAAUUAUUUUCUUGGGACGAUAAGACCCUAUAGAACUUUAUUCAUUUAAUUUUAAUUAAUUUUUAUAUUAAUAAAUUUAAAUUAAAUUUAGGUUGAUUUUUGCUGGGGUGGUAAUUAAAUUUAAACUUUAAUUUUUAAAAUCAUUAAUUUAUGUUUAUUUGAUCCUCUAUAAGGGAAAUAAGAUUAAGUUACCUUAGGGAUAACAGCGUAAUUUUAAUGGGGAGUUCAUAUCUAUAUUAAAUUUUGCGACCUCGAUGUUGAAUUAAGAUAAAAUUAAGAAGCAGAAUUCUUAUAUUUAAGUCUGUUCGACUUUUAAAUUCUUACAUGAUUUGAGUUCAAACCGGCGUGAGCCAGGUUGGUUUCUAUCUAAGAAUAAUUUAAUUUAGUUAGUACGAAAGGACCAUUAAAUUAUACAUUUAGUAUAAAAUUUUGGAAGAU
rnacentral:rRNA from 1 species